GUAUUUUUGCCGGUUUUACUCCAAUGAAAAGUUGAAAAGUCACCUUUUGAGUAUUUUAGUUUGUGGAUACUAAAUGCAAAUACGUACUGCAAUAGUGAAGGAUUAUAAGUGCUGUAGUUAAAUAAACCAACUUUUUCAAGAAUUUUUGUUUAAGUGUCCAGUUUUGUGUUUCCGGGAAAAGGUCAAUUCCAUAGGCUUUUUUUUCUCCUCGGUAUGGUUUUCAUCCACUAUUAUAAGAAGUAGAAAUCUCCACUCCUCUACUCCAAUAACGUCCAUAACAUCUACAUCGACAUUUACUGUUACACCGAUCCACCCAGGUCCUCCACCUCAAUCAUGCAGCCCUCUUGGAGUCAGAUUUUGGGAACUAUUAUGAUCUCAUUAGAUUCAGAAAGCCGGAAGCAUGAAAAAAUCAUAGGAAUUAAAGAUUAGGGCCAUAUUUAUCCUAUAAUGAAAGAACUUCGGUCAUUUUGAAUCAAGAUGCGAGUUGAUUUACCUUUUUGACGUCAAAAGUUAAAUGAGACGCCAUUUGAGGGUAAACUAGCUGACUAAGUAAGUCAAUGUAAUACUGCUGACAACGCCAUGGGAAUUGUAUAUCAUAUGAUUCAAACUAAGGCUUACGUCAAACACGUAGUGUAUUUAAAUACAUAGGCUAAAGAUUUCAUUUGCAAUAAAAGUGCAGUAAACUAGUAUAUAUUAUACCCGAAUUUCAUUCGUGGUCUCAAAAAUGUGCACUGGUGCAAAUGGAACCAAAUUGUUUUAUCUUGAGGGCAAUAGCAGUAGAUUUGCUUUGUUAGAAAUUCAUGUUGGUUAGACAAAAAAAAAAUUGUCUUUGUUUUUUGAAUUCCAAUAGCAAAAAAAUAGUCCUUUAAUAGUAUGUAGUUUUUAAUCUAAACUUAAAAUAAAUUAAAAU